UCAGAUUGAACGCUGGCGGCAGGCUUAACACAUGCAAGUCGAGCGGGGWRAKGUAGCUUGCUACAUUACCUAGCGGCGGACGGGUGAGUAAUGCUUAGGAAUCUGCCUAUUAGUGGGGGACAACAUUCCGAAAGGAAUGCUAAUACCGCAUACGCCCUACGGGGGAAAGCAGGGGAUCUUCGGACCUUGCGCUAAUAGAUGAGCCUAAGUCAGAUUAGCUAGUUGGUGGGGUAAAGGCCUACCAAGGCGACGAUCUGUAGCGGGUCUGAGAGGAUGAUCCGCCACACUGGGACUGAGACACGGCCCAGACUCCUACGGGAGGCAGCAGUGGGGAAUAUUGGACAAUGGGCGMAAGCCUGAUCCAGCCAUGCCGCGUGUGUGAAGAAGGCCUUUUGGUUGUAAAGCACUUUAAGCGAGGAGGAGGCUACUUGGAUUAAUACUCUAGGAUAGUGGACGUUACUCGCAGAAUAAGCACCGGCUAACUCUGUGCCAGCAGCCGCGGUAAUACAGAGGGUGCGAGCGUUAAUCGGAUUUACUGGGCGUAAAGCGUGCGUAGGCGGCUUCUUAAGUCGGAUGUGAAAUCCCUGAGCUUAACUUAGGAAUUGCAUUCGAUACUGGGAAGCUAGAGUAUGGGAGAGGAUGGUAGAAUUCCAGGUGUAGCGGUGAAAUGCGUAGAGAUCUGGAGGAAUACCGAUGGCGAAGGCAGCCAUCUGGCCUA
rnacentral:rRNA from 1 species